rnacentral:rRNA from 1 species
UGGGGAAUUGUUCACAAUGGGCGCAAGCCUGAUGACGCAACGCCGCGUGGGGGAUGAAGGUCUUCGGAUCGUAAACCCCUGUCGAAUGGGACGAAUAGCUCGCGAAUUAAUACCUCGUGGGAAUGACGGUACCGUUAAAGGAAGCCACGGCUAACUCUGUGCCAGCAGCCGCGGUAAUACAGAGGUGGCAAGCGUUGUUCGGAAUUACUGGGCGUAAAGGGCGCGUAGGCGGCCAUCUAAGUCAGACGUGAAAUCCCCGGCUCAACCUGGGAACUGCGUCUGAUACUGGAAGGCUAGAGUUUGGGAGAGGGAUGUAGAAUUCCAGGUGUAGCGGUGAAAUGCGUAGAUAUCUGGAGGAAUACCGGUGGCGAAGGCGGCAUCCUGGACCAAUACUGACGCUGAGGCACGAAAGCGUGGGGAGCAAACAGGAUUAGAUACCCAGGUAGUCCCUGAGCGGGCUGGCAAGGCGCAU